UACGUAGGGAGCGAGCGUUGUCCGGAAUCAUUGGGCGUAAAGCGCGCGUAGGCGGCCCGAUAAGUCCGCUGUAAAAGUCAACGGCUCAACUGUUGAAAGCCGGUGGAUACUGUCGGGCUAGAGUACGGAAGAGGCAAGUGGAAUUCCUGGUGUAGCGGUGGAAUGCGCAGAUAUCAGGAGGAACACCCAUAGCGAAGGCAGCUUGCUGGGACGUUACUGACGCUAAGGCGCGAAAAGCGUGGGGAGCAAACAGG
rnacentral:rRNA from 1 species